GGAGGAGUCGGAUAGCGGUUCAUUCCACACGCUUGGAGAGCGUGCGAGCGCAAGCUCUCGUGAGUUCGAAUCUCACCUCCUCCGCCA
rnacentral:tRNA from 1 species